CUUGCCAGAUAAAGAUUAUUUGAGUGUCCUACUAUGCACUAUAUUUUAUUCAACAAUUGCCUGAUUUACGCGAUUAAUGACAUUCUGCUAAACGACGUCUGUGGCUGUUUAGCGACACAGUGCACCCACAAAAUUACAACAAACCGCCGACUUGAAAAUUCAGAAUUCCUAUUUAAUUGAUUUAAAAUUUACUCGGAUCUUUUAAUUAUUAAUUUAAAUAUUUAUUAACAAAAUAAUUACAACAAUGAGCACGCGGUAUAACCCACUCCACGUAAGAUGAAUUGAAGUAACCAUAUUUAGUGUACUAACCAUUCAACAUGGAUUUUGACAAAAGACUUCGAGUCGUUCAACAGGGGUAUCCACCUGGCAUAUCUUCCAUAUAGAAUAAAAAAUAAGAAGAGUUACAACAAACUAAAAAGCCAUCAACACUCUGGACAAUUUACUCCAUGCUUAAUAGUAUUUUGAAUUUGUAUCAUGAGAUCCACAUAAAUACUUAUAAAAAAUUACGCGAUUUCCUUAAAAAACAAGAUCGUGGUUUUAAAAAUAAAAAAUCUAAAAUUUUAUCAGCAGACAAGGUUGCAGAACUUUUGAAUAAUGCUCUCGAUGAUGAUUAUUUAGUUGACAAGGUUAUCUUAAUCUUAGGAGUCUGCAGAGCUUGCAGAAGAGUUGAACUUUGCGAAUGAACGUUUGAAGUUUUUGAGGACAAUGACGUGAACAUGAUAAUUCAAAUUAAUGCCACUAAAACGUCAAUAGUUUGCAAAUUUUCUGUUGAUGGAGAAUUUUACAAGAUUGUAAAAAAAUAUCUAACGCUCCGACCAAAAGUUUGCAAGACUAGUCGAUUUUUUUUAAACUUGCAGAAGGGUAAAGGCACUCGGCAACUGAUUGGUGUCAAUAAAAUCGGAAGUGUACCCCGUAAAAUUGUCGCAUACUUAAAGCUACCCAAUGCAAACCAAUUUACUGGUCAUUUUUUUCGACGUACUUCAGCCACUCUUCUCGUAGAUGCUGGUGCAUGACUGCUCUGAAGCAUCAUAGUGGCUGGAGUUCGUCGACGGUUGCUGAGGGGUACAUCGAUCAUUCAAUAAAAAACAAACAAAAAGUAUUUCACUAAAUCACUGAAUCGAUUACUCUAAAAUCAACUUCUAAUGCAACUACCACUAUCUCGUUAUCUCAAAAAAAUCCAGACAUCAAUAGAGCAUCAACCUCAAACGUUAAUCAUCUCACCCAAAUAAGUGCACCUCUCACGGACAUCUCUAAAAAUGCACCACCAAAUAUGAAUCAACAUUUUAAUAAGUGCCCAAACCUCACUAUCAUUUUUAGUA